rnacentral:rRNA from 1 species
CGUGAGUGAUGAAGGCCUUCGGGUUGUAAAGCACUUUAGGUUGGGAAGAAAAAACUCGGGCUAAUACCUUGAGUCUUGACGGUACCGACAGAAUAAGCACCGGCUAACUCUGUGCCAGCAGCCGCGGUAAUACAGAGGGUGCAAGCGUUAAUCGGAUUUACUGGGCGUAAAGCGUGCGUAGGCGGUUAGUUAAGUCGAUUGUGAAAGCCCCGGGCUUAACCUGGGAAU